rnacentral:lncRNA from 1 species
CUUGCAUGGCCCACAUUCUUGAAUGCCCUGGUCGAGACUCCUGCCAGAGAGCUGGCCACGUGAUUGACUGGGUCAGGAUGCCUGCCAUGAUUACCACAGGCCACAGCCAAGCCUGGCCGUCCCCGAACAUUCGUCGCCAUGGCCACCACUGUCUUCCUGCCACCCAGCCACUGUGGCUCAGCAGAAAGCAGCAUGCUCUUCUGGGCACUCUUCUGACACCACCGAGACCCCUUCAGGACUGGUCUCCUUUAGCAAUAAGGAACUUCAGCAGCUAGACAGAACUGCAAAGCCGUCUUGACUGCCUUGUUGCUUGAUCCUGUGACAUCAGGCUAUCGUUUUUAGCUAAGUUGUCAAAAGUUCUUUGCAUCCUAAAACUGAAAGAAUUCUAAAAUACCUGAGUUCUAAGGUGAGCAGACUACCGUCCUGAGUAUUUUUCCUUCUUUUCGGCAUGGAUGCCUUUUCCACUCUGAGACUAAUGUGCUCUUCAAGG